UAAGAAGGGCAUUUAGUGGAUGCCUUGGCGAUAAGAGGCGAUGAAGGACGUGGUACGCUGCGUUAAGCCAUGGGGAGCUGCGAACAAGCUUUGAUCCAUGGAUAUCCGAAUGGGGAAACCCGGCCCGCAAGGGUCAUCAUUAUCUGAAUACAUAGGGUAAUGAGGCGAACCUGGGGAACUGAAACAUCUAAGUACCCAGAGGAAAGGACAUCAAUUGAGACUUCCUUAGUAGUGGCGAGCGAACGGGAACCAGGCCAGUGGCUUUAGUGAGAAAACCGGAACUGCUUGGAAAGGCAGGCCAUAGUGGGUGAUAGCCCCGUACGGGUAAUUCGAACUUUAGUCCUCGAGUAGGGCGGGACACGUGAAAUCCUGUCUGAACAUGGGGGGACCAUCCUCCAAGCCUAAGUACUCCUUAUCGACCGAUAGUGAACAAGUACCGUGAGGGAAAGGUGAAAA
rnacentral:rRNA from 1 species